rnacentral:rRNA from 1 species
AACGAACGCUGGCGGCAUGCCUAACACAUGCAAGUCGAACGAGACCUUCGGGUCUAGUUGCGCACGGGUGCGUAACGCGUGGGAACCUGCCCUUAGGUUCGGAAUAACUCCCCGUAGGGGGUGCUAAUACCGCAUAAUGUCUUCGGACCAAAGAUUUAUCGCCUUUGGAUGGGCCCGCGUUGGAUUCGCUAGUUGGUAGGGUAAAAGCCUACCAAGGCGACGAUCCAUAGCUGGUCUGAGAGGAUGAUCAUCCACACUGGGACUGAGACACGGCCCAGACUGCGACGGGAGGCAGCAGUGGGGAAUAUUGGACAAUGGGCGAAAGCCUGAUCCAGCAAUGCCGCGUGAGUGAUGAAGGCCUUAGGGUUGUAAAGCUCUUUUACCCGGGAUGAUAAUGACAGUACCGGGAGAAUAAGCUCCGGCUAACUCCGUG